rnacentral:rRNA from 1 species
GAUGAACGCUGGCGGCGUGCCUAAUACAUGCAAGUCGAGCGAACAGACGAGGAGCUUGCUCCUCUGACGUUAGCGGCGGACGGGUGAGUAACACGUGGAUAACCUACCUAUCAGACUGGGAUAACUUCGGGAAACCGGAGCUAAUACCGGAUAAUAUAUUGAACCGCAUGGUUCAAUAGUGAAAGACGGUUUUGCUGUCACUUAUAGAUGGAUCCGCGCCGCAUUAGCUAGUUGGUAAGGUAACGGCUUACCAAGGCAACGAUGCGUAGCCGACCUGAGAGGGUGAUCGCCCACACUGGAACUGAGACACGCUCCUGACUCCUACGGGACGCAGCAGUAUGGAAUCUUCCGCAAUGGGCGAAAGCCUGACGGAGCAACGCCGCGUGAGUGAUGAAGGUCUUCGGAUCGUAAAACUCUGUUAUUAGGGAAGAACAAAUGUGUAAGUAACUAUGCACGUCUUGACGGUACCUAAUCAGAAAGCCACGGCUAACUACGUG